rnacentral:rRNA from 1 species
UGGUAGUGUAUUGGACAACCAUGGCUCUAACGGGUAACGGAGGAUUAGGGUUCGAUUCCGGAGAGGGAGCCUGAGAAACGGCUACCACAUCUAAGGAAGGCAGCAGGCGCGUAAAUUACCCAAUCCUGACUCAGGGAGGUAGUGACAAGAAAUAACGGACCGAAGCCUAUGGUUUCGGGAUUGCAAUGAGUAGAAUUUAAACCCCUUUACGAGGAUCAAUUGGAGGGCAAGUCUGGUGCCAGCAGCCGCGGUAAUUCCAGCUCCAAUAGCGUAUAUUAAAGUUGUUGCAGUUAAAAAGCUCGUAGUUGGAUUUCUGGGAGGGUGCCAAUGUCCGCUCGUUCGCGUGUGCAGCGGCGCCCUUCCAUCCUUCUGUUAACGUUUCUUGGUAUUCAGUUACUGGUUUCGGGCUCAGAUAUUUUACCUUGAGAAAAUUAGAGUGUUUCAGGCAGGCUUGCGCCGGAAUACAUUAGCAUGGAAUAAUAGAAUAGGACUUUAGUCUCCUUUGUUGGUUUGAGGGACUGAAGUAAUGAUUAAUAGGGAUAGUUGGGGGCAUUAGUAUUUAAUUGUCAGAGGUGAAAUUCUCGGAUUUGUUAAAGACUAACUUAUGCGAAAGCAUUUGCCAAGGAUGUUUUC